rnacentral:rRNA from 1 species
AUCCAGACUCCUACGGGAGGCAGCAGUGGGGGAUAUUGCACAAUGGGGGGAACCCUGAUGCAGCGACGCCGCGUGGGUGAAGGAGUGCUUCGGCAUGUAAAGCCCUAUCGGCAGGGAAGAAGCAAGACGGUACCUGACUAAGAAGCCCCGGCUAACUACGUGCCAGCAGCCGCGGUAAUACGUAGGGGGCGAGCGUUAUCCGGAUUCACUGGGUGUAAAGGGAGCGUAGACGGCCAUGCAAGCCAGGGGUGAAAGCCCGGGGCUCAACCCCGGGACUGCAUUUGAAACUGUCAGGCUGGAGUGCAGGAGAGGUAAGUGGAAUUCCUAGUGUAGCGGUGAAAUGCGUAGAUAUUAGGAAGAACACCGGUGGCGAAGGCGACUUUCUGGACUGUAACUGACGUUGAGGCACGAAAGUGUGGGGAGCAACCAGGAUUAGAUACCCCCGUACAA